rfam:Trichomalopsis sarcophagae strain Alberta scaffold184, whole genome shotgun sequence.
UAAUUGGCCCUUUUCAGGGCCACCAUAUAAAUUUUACACAUGAAA